AUUGAAAGAUAACUAAUAAAAAUGUUUUAUUUUUUAUCUUUUUUUUUAUGUUAUGUUUUAUUUCUUAGAUCAAAGACGUGGAACAGAAAGAUUGGAUAGAAACAAUGUGGAAAAUCUGGUCAACCAACCCUGGGUCACAUUUUUUAUGACAAAGCCAGCAGAGAGAAAAUAACAAAGAACUAAACACCAGCUACACGUUUGCAUUUCAUAUCCAGAGGAUCAAGUUAAACUUGUUCCACAAAAGUACAUUUCUAUCCUAUCCUAUCAUACUCAGUGAAAGAUGACUGUACCUGAUCAUGAUUGGCUGCGUAUCAAAUACAGAGAAGGUAUAAAUAAUGAGGAAAAGGCUGGAGACACACCAACAUCUCUUGGAUGCUGCUUGCUGAACCACACCUGAACCAUUCAACUGGGAAACAGCUGGACUCGGCCUGUACGUCUUUGACUCAAGUCACUCUGUUUGACACGUAAACUGCUGCAAAACAUUGCCACCAACAUGCCGCAGGAAUUUGAAUACACUGAUGGUGCUUCAAAAGCACAAAAACAAAGAAAACGGGCCCAACAAAUGGAAGAGAACCCAGAAACUCUUUAUACAUGUGGAAACCUUCUCAUGUUUCACGCUGAAGAUCCAGAAAUCUGGAUAGAGAGUUUAACAGAGGAAUUUGGAAGAAACCCUGA